rnacentral:misc_RNA from 1 species
CACGGUGGGCUUAGCGACUGGGGUGAAGUCGUAACAAGGUAGCCGUAGGGGAACCUGCGGCUGGAUCACCUCCUUUCUAAGGAUAUCGGCGGAAAGCGUUCUGGGUUCGUCCUGGGAGAAGAGCUUCCUCCAUUCCAAAGAACAUUCAGCCGCCGUCCUCAUGUCCCUUCAUCAACUGGAACCGACGAGACGGAAUAGCGCAAGCUAUUCUGCACGUCGGUCAGUUCGGCCAGCGCGGCAUAGCGCGCCAUAAGGCGCGGCUUUGCCGCGAUGACGGCGCAGCGGGCACGGGCCGGUAGCUCAGGUGGUUAGAGCGCACGCCUGAUAAGCGUGAGGUCGUAGGUUCAACUCCUACUCGGCCCACCAAGAUAUAAGCGAUGCAUUCUACCAGCGCCGCGGGCAAAGCCCGCGUCGUCGAUCCUGCUGAAGCAGGUCGGCCGUGCUGGCGAAUGUGGACAAUAGCUUUGCUAUUGUCUCUCAUCGCUGGCGCAUGGGGCCUUAGCUCAGCUGGGAGAGCGGUUGCUUUGCAAGCAUCAGGUCAUCGGUUCGAUCCCGAUAGGCUCCACCACCACCCGAACGAUUAUCCAGUUUGAUGAAGACACCGGUUCCGGCGUAGCGAUACGUCGGUUUUGGGAGGCAAGCCUCCCUCUUUGACAUUGUGAAUGGGUUCUUAAAAUCGAUGCCGUGAUGGUGUCGGUUUGGACAAGCGAAGCGCACAGCAGCUGCAAGGCAUGCUGAAGCGAGCGUCUCCAGGCUGACUUCAAUCACUUAAUGGAUUGCGAGAGAGGCGAUGGCGCAAGCCAUUGGCCGAAACGCAUAUCCGACAAUCUGGCUGAGAUUAUAAUCAUCCGCACCAAGACGGCGUUCUAACGAACGCCGGGUAAAACCACGCUGCACUGCUCUGCCGAGUUUCGUGUCGCUCACCCGAUGGGUGACGAUCCAGUGUUGUCGUUGGUGGUGUGGACUCUCAAGCGUGAGGUAAGGGCAAUUCGUGGAUGCCUUGGCACAUACAGGCGAUGAAGGACGUGGCACGCUGCGAUAAGCCUGCGGUGA